UCUGGCAAUGACGACACACUUGCCCUCACUGAGAACGCCGUUCGCUAAUGAGAACUGUUCUAUGUACUCAGCAGAGCUGAGCCAGA